CCCCCCUUAGUAGCGGCGAGCGAGGCGGGAAGAGCUCAAAUUUAUAAUCUGGCACCUUCGGUGUCCGAGUUGUAAUCUCUAGAAGUGUUUUCCGCGUUGGACCGCACACAAGUCUGUUGGAAUACAGCGGCAUAGUGGUGAAACCCCCGUAUAUGGUGCGGACGCCCAGCGCUUUGUGAUACACUUUCAAUGAGUCGAGUUGUUUGGGAAUGCAGCUCAAAUUGGGUGGUAAAUUCCAUCUAAAGCUAAAUAUUGGCGAGAGACCGAUAGCGAACAAGUACCGUGAGGGAAAGAUGAAAAGCACUUUGGAAAGAGAGUUAACAGUACGUGAAAUUGUUGGAAGGGAAACGCUUGAAGUCAGACUUGCUUGCCGGAGCUUGCUUCGGUUUGCAGGCCAGCAUCAGUUUUCCGGGGUGGAUAAUGACGGUUUGAAGGUAGCAGUCUCGGCUGUGUUAUAGCUUUCCGUUGGAUACAUCCUGGGGGACUGAGGAACGCAGCGUGCUUUUUGCGAAAGACUCGUCUUUUUCACGCUUAGGAUGCUGGUGGAAUGGCUUUAAACGACCCGUCUUGAAACACGGACCA
rnacentral:rRNA from 1 species